GUAUUUCAUUUGCAGAUAUUUCCAUGGAAAUGUCAGAGCACCCAGAGGGACUUAUGGAACAUCUUCAAGUUGUGGGGGUGGACAAUGCUCUGUUGUGAUUUCCUGGCACAUCAUGGAACCGACUGCUGGACUUACCAUUAUUCUGAAAAACCCAUGAACUGGCAAAGGGCUAGAAGAUUCUGCCGAGACAAUUACACAGAUUUAGUUGCCAUACAAAACAAGGCGGAAAUUGAGUAUCUGGAGAAGACUCUGCCUUUCAGUCGUUCUUACUACUGGAUAGGAAUCCGGAAGAUAGGAGGAAUAUGGACGUGGGUGGGAACCAACAAAUCUCUCACUGAAGAAGCAGAGAACUGGGGAGAUGGUGAGCCCAACAACAAGAAGAACAAGGAGGACUGCGUGGAGAUCUAUAUCAAGAGAAACAAAGAUGCAGGCAAAUGGAACGAUGACGCCUGCCACAAACUAAAGGCAGCCCUCUGUUACACAGCUUCUUGCCAGCCCUGGUCAUGCAGUGGCCAUGGAGAAUGUGUAGAAAUCAUCAAUAAUUACACCUGCAACUGUGAUGUGGGGUACUAUGGGCCCCAGUGUCAGUUUGUGAUUCAGUGUGAGCCUUUGGAGGCCC
rnacentral:sRNA from 1 species